AUUGAACGCUGGCGGCAUGCCUUACACAUGCAAGUCGAACGGCAGCACGGGAGCAAUCCUGGUGGCGAGUGGCGAACGGGUGAGUAAUAUAUCGGAACGUGCCCAGUAGUGGGGGAUAGCCCGGCGAAAGCCGGAUUAAUACCGCAUACGACCUGUGGGUGAAAGCGGGGGAUCGCAAGACCUCGCGCUAUUGGAGCGGCCGAUAUCAGAUUAGCUUGUUGGUGGGGUAAAAGCCCACCAAGGCGACGAUCUGUAGCUGGUCUGAGAGGACGACCAGCCACACUGGGACUGAGACACGGCCCAGACUCCUACGGGAGGCAGCAGUGGGGAAUUUUGGACAAUGGGCGCAAGCCUGAUCCAGCUAUGCCGCGUGUGGGAAGAAGGCCU
rnacentral:rRNA from 1 species